CUCGUUAAUUAGAUUGAUUAUAUUUCUAUAUCGGGUUUUUUCUUAAAUCUUAAAUGUACUAUUGUCUAAGCUGUGCUUCUCCAGGUAGAACUUAUUAAAAUCCUUUAUUGGCAUUUCGGUAGUUUAUAUACUAUCUACAAUACAUAUUGUACAUAUCUUACAUUAGAUUAUAAACCUUAGAUUGCAUUGCGGAAAGUCGUCUUCCAGGUACCGACUCUAUUUUCGCUUAUCGCUAACUUGGCUGCACUUUUCAGCUACCAGCUUGGGGUUUGUUCUUUUUUCGAUGGGUGUAGAUUGAAAUAAAAAUGCUGAUUUGUUUAACGGAUAAACAGCAGAUCAAUGCUACCGUUUUAAUGUAGGGGACCAGUAAACCACCGACAUCUAUUACCGAAACAGUAGACAUGUAAGAGACACAGCCGAAAAGCCAAUAACGAGGCAACAAGAACAACAGCGCUCUCGGAUGCUCAAAUUGAUUCAAUUUUGUUGCUGAUGCUGCUGGUUACCCUGCGGCGGCUACCACACAUGAGACAUCUAUCACACAUAUUUUUAAUACAGGUACACAUACUGAUGCACAUUUAGUUGUUGGUUCCACAGUAAUUUAAGUAUUCAACCGGCACUCACAAAACAAAGUGGUAUGACUUAGCCAUUGUUGCAGCUGCCGGUGGUGAGGACCACCGAAAUUCAAACUAAUGCAAAAUAAAUAAAUAUAUAUAAGUCCCGUUUACUCGACUACUCCUCACACAUCCUAACUACCGCUAUACAAAGCAUUGUCGUUUGUGAUAUUACUGUCAACUACCGGUGUGGUUGCUGUCUUGCAGUCCAUGUGGAUAUUUGGGAUAAACGAGCGCCGUUGGGAAACAGGAGUAAGUUUUCAGCUCAUACCCCCAACAUGUUUCACUCAACGUAUUAAAAUUUUAUUUACCGUCAUGGAAAAAUGCCGUUAGUCCAUUACAUAUGUAGUACAUACAUAGGAAAGCAUCCAAGCGUAGAGACAAAUACAUAAAUUAAACCACAUGCUACCAAGAUCAUCAACUGCAGCAGAAAACAUGGAAUAGACAAAGUAACUUCGAUUACAACAGGUGAGGAUAGGAUCUAAUAAUAUAUAGUGUGUAACAGCCGCAUGGUAAUAUUAGAAAGAUAAGCAAUAUUUGUCAUUUCAAUAAAAAAUUUAAAAGAAACACCGCCCAAAAUUCAACUUUUCCUCCUGAAACUGAAACAAUCAACAAAGAAAUUAUCUGUCAUCUGUUCCAGUAAGGAGAUUACGAUGUAUAAACAUACUAAAACCAAUACAAUUAUGUGCAGAUCUAAUUAGGUUAUUUUAUUGUGUCCUUUGAUUAGUUAAAAUUUGCUCCCCCAUGUUUUGUUAGAGGAUAUUAACUGUCAAACUUAUGUUUCUUAUUUCAGUUACCAUAAACCUAUAGUUACAAUAAUAAAAAUUCUUGAAUAAC